AACACUUGAACUUUCUCUUCUCAUUUUUUGCUCCUUUUCUUUUCUUCUUCUUCUUUUUCGAAGGAGUGUCAGUAGUAAUGAGACCGGGGCGAA
rnacentral:ribozyme from 13 species